rnacentral:rRNA from 1 species
AUUGAACGCUGGCGGCAGGCCUAACACAUGCAAGUCGAACGAGUGGCGGACGGGUGAGUAAUGUCUGGGAAACUGCCCGAUGGAGGGGGAUAACUACUGGCAACGGUAGCUAAUACCGCAUACCAUCGGAUGUGCCCAGAUGGGAUUAGCUAGUAGGUGGGGUAAUGGCUCACCUAGGCGACGCGCCCUAGCUGGUCUGAGAGGAUGACCAGCCACACUGGUACUGAGACACAGUCCAGACUCAUACGGGAGGAAGCAGUGGGGAACAUUGCACACGGGGCGCAAGCAUGAUGCAGCCAUGCCGCGUGCAUGAAGAAGGCCUUCGGGUUGUAAAGUACUUUCAGCGGGGGGGCGUUACUCGCAGAAGAAGCACAGGCUAACUCCGUGCCAGCCGCCGCGGUAAUAC